rnacentral:rRNA from 1 species
GACGAACGCUGGCGGCGUGCUUAACACAUGCAAGUCGAACGGAAAGGCCCUGCUUUUGUGGGGUGCUCGAGUGGCGAACGGGGGAGUAACACGUGAGUAACCUGCCCUUGACUGUGGGAUAACUUCAGGAAACUGGGGCUAAUACCGGAUAGGAGCUCCUGCUGCAUGGGGGGGGUUGGAAAGUUUCGGCGGUUGGGGAUGGACUCGCGGCUUAUCAGCUUGUUGGUGGGGUAGUGGCUUACCAAGGCUUUGACGGGUAGCCCGCCUGAGAGGGUGACCGGCCACAUUGGGACUGAGAUACGGACCAGACUCCUACGGGAGGCAGCAGUGGGGAAUAUUGCAGAAUGGGCGGAAGCGUGAUGCAGCAACGCCGCGUGCGGGAUGACGGCCUUCGGGUUGUAAACCGCUUUCGCCUGUGACGAAGCGUGAGUGACGGUAAUGGGUAAAGAAGCACCGGCUAACUACGUG